GGGGGAUAAGGUUCUGAAAGUUGACAAGAUUUCACUGGUCUUUUAGAACUGUAUUUUAUGAGCGAAUCAGCUUUGAGGCAGGGAGCUCCUCCCCUCCUCCAAUCUGGCUUCCAGCAAAAAGUGGACCUUUCUUACUUCUCUGUCUGGCCCCAUCUGUAACAUGAGGAGAUAAUAAUUCUGUCCUGCCUUGCAGGCUGGUUGUUUAGGAUCAGAGAUAUGGCAAUAUAGGGUUGGGAGAGGUAAACGAGAGGGUGCCUUCAGGAGAAAACUGAACGAACACUUCAGCGACCUGCUUUAUAGAGUCUAUAUUUCCACUUUGAUCAUAUGCAUAUGUAUGCUUUCUCUCUGUUCUCUGAAGAAGAAGCCCAGUUGUAGAACACCUGCUCUGCAUGAAGAAGGUUCCGGGUUCAAUCCCCAAGUAGCACUGGGAAUGUCCCCCUGUCUGAAACCCUGAAGAGAUGCUGCCAGUCAGUGUUGACAGCACUGUGGUAGAUGAACCAAACAGUCUGACUCGGCGCUGUUUCUCCAUCGAUCUCGUUGCGCCCACUAGUGCUGCUGUCCCAGUGGGGACCGGCUUUUGGAGAUGCGAGCGAGGACAGCCGCAGUUUCUCGCUGAGCUGCGGAGAAGCCGCGAAAGACGAGCCGCUCUUGUCGACUCUCCCAGCAAGCUGAUUAGAUGCGGCCAUCUAGGGG